ACUCCUACGGAAGGCAGCAGUGAGGGAUUUUGCGCAAUGGGCGGAAGCCUGACGCAGCAACGCCGCGUGAGUGAAGAAGGCCUUUGGGUUGUAAAGCUCUGUCGACAGGGAAGAAGUUAAUGUAAUUUAAUAGAUUACGUUAUUGACGGUACCUGAGAAGGAAGCAUCGGCUAACUCCGUGCCAGCAGCCGCGGUAAU
rnacentral:rRNA from 1 species